AUCCAGCUGAAGACAGAAGCAUUCUGAAGAAGUCUGUCUUUGUUAACAAUAUCUAAACCCAGAGAAGAAAUUCUGCUGGACUUCUGGGAGGCGAGAAGGAGAAGCAGAGGAGAAGCUGCCAAAAUGACACUCUCCCUUCCAUCCCCCCAUGGCCAACCCCCCAUCCCAGGGCCUGAUAAGGAGAGACCCCAAGUAAAAAUACAGCCUCAAGCAGAAAUUACAAAAUACUCAUGGCUGGGCACAGUGGCUCACACUUGUAAUCCCAGCAUUUUGAGAGGCCAAGGCAAGAGGAAUGCUUGAGGGCAGGAGUUUGAGACCAGCCUGGGCAACAUAGCAGGACUCAAUCUCUACCAAAAAAAAAAAAAUUUUUUUUUUAAGUCAGAACCUUUUUAAGAGCGUCAACUAAGAAGAACACUAUUCCUUUGGGAAAGAAUAACAGAGAAGAGAGCUUGGAUCUGAAAAGAAAAAUGCCACACACUGGUGAUGCUUCCUUCUAGAGGCUGUGGACUGCCUGACAAACUUGCUAAAGCAAAAAAGGGCAUAAUAGUUCUCUGCAGAGGAAGAAUUU
rnacentral:lncRNA from 1 species